GGUACAGUCACCGUCACCACCACAGCUCUGCUGUCAGCUUCCAGCAGCACACAGGUUGGAUGUUCAGUGUCAGUGCUCUCUGCUGCUCCCAGAGAGAAGCUGAUCACCGUUCCUGGAGUUAAAGGAACAUCUGAUGAUGGUUUUGAUGUAGAAUCUGCUUCAAAUAACAGUGCUGUUGCAUGGUGUAUAUUCAGUGGAUCCAUGGUUUGCAUUGUUGCUUUUCUCAUCAUUUUAUGGUUCACAAAAAGGGCAGAAAAAAGGAGGAUUAAAGUUGCACCAAGCAUGGCACUUGAAGAUGCAUUGAACACGGAAGCGAAAGAUCCAGGGAAAAAGCCAUGUGAAGAUUCAUUGAACACACCAUCUAUAGAUGCAUUGGACAGGCUAUUUGAAGAUAAAUUGAUCCUGCUACAUGAAGAUACAUGGAGCAA